AUGAAUUUCUGCAUCGCGGUGCUCCUGGUCCUUCAGUCCUUGCCGGGUGAUUACUAUUAUUCCACAGAAGAUUAUUACUACGACAACGCCACAGCAACCCCUGCCACGUACGUGUACGAGUUUGAUUCAUAUGAGACAAACACCACUGGAGACAUAGAUUAUGACAAGUUUUUUCCAGAAUGGAAUGACACCAUUGAGCUUUCAGGAUUACCUGACAUAAAUGUUCCAGGGGAUGCCAAGGACGCUCCAGGGGACGCCAAGGACACUCAGGAUUUUCAGGAGUCAUUGGGAUCGUCCCUGCAGGGCCACCUCACCCUCAUCAUCCUCCUCAGCUUCCUGGGUCUCCUGCUAUGACCCCCAGACUCCUCCUCCCAAGACCUUGUGGCUGGGAUGGUGACCAGGACACCGCCAGGUGUUGAUGAUGAAAUCCUCUCCACGAGGUGUUGUCUCUGUUCUGGAACUGCUGAGAUUUUGUGGCUGAAGGUUUUGGUGAGAGCAGCUCAGCAACCCUUCAGGCCUUUCCUGUUUCCUCGGAUUCUGCUGUAAAUAAGAACCUCUGCCAAUAAAACCCCCAACACCCGGUGCA
rnacentral:lncRNA from 1 species